AUGCUUGCACGACAGCUUUGUAUACGUUCAGAAUUGUGUCAAGAGCCUGCACCGCAGGAGAACACCGGCAGUUCUCUUAAGCUAGACAUCUCAAGAGCUUUUGACAAUGUCUCACGGGAAUAUCUCCUAGAACUGCUCGAAAGGCUAGGAUUUAGUGCACGCUGGCGGGACUGGAUCACGCUCCUCCUCGCUGCAUCAACCUCGGCCUUCCUCCUCAACGGAUCACCUGGCGCGCAAAUCCUGCAUCGGCGUGGACUGAGGCAAGGAGACCCGCUGUCUCCUCUCCUCUUCAUCAUCGCGAUCGACCUCAUCCAUCAUCUGCUACAGGCUGCUGAGGAGGCCCUCGAGAUCGUGCCAGUGCCUGGUCGUGAGGUCAAGCUCAGAGUGAGCUUAUACGCUGACGACGCCAUCAUCUUCGCAAAGCCUGACAAAGAGGAGAUAGAUACCUUGAUGCACAUCCUUCAGAGCUUCGGCGACGCCUCGGGCCUCCGGAUCAACCUGGCCAAAUCCACGGCCACGCCGAUCCACUACAACGACGUCGACCUAGGGCUAGUUCUUCAAAUGUUUGGCGGCCUGAUCGCUCAUUUCCCAAUUAGAUAUCUAGGUUUGCCCAUUACCACGGGUCGGCUACGUCUAGUUCACCUCCAGUUCAUCCUUGACCGCAUCAAGGCACGACUUGCAGGCUGGAAGGAACGAAUGCUGUCCAUGGCCGGCAGUCGUGCACUCCGGCUGAGAUGGCUCUGGCACAGUUGGAAGAAUCCCACCCGCCCUUGGAUUGGAAUGGAGCCGCCGUGCGAUGCCUCGGAUCAUGCUCUUUUCAACGCGGCAACGACUGUGGCAAUCGGCAACGGCGGCACGGCAAGCUUCUGGAGUUGCUCUUGGCUAGGGCCGGUGCCACUGAAGUUCUGCUUCCCGUCUCUCUUGAAGCACUCGAGCCGCAAGGGCAGAACGGUGGCACAGGCUAUCGCCGACGACCGCUGGGUCCUGGACCUUGCACACGGCAACAACAACGACCUUGUCAGCGAGGUUCUUGACCUGCACUGUCUCAUUCAGCGCCGCAACUUCCAGACUGAAGAUCAGGACCAGAUCCGAUGGAUCUUGGAGGGAUUAGGUCAGUAG
rnacentral:rRNA from 1 species